rnacentral:rRNA from 1 species
GAUGAACGCUGGCGGCGUGCCUAAUACAUGCAAGUCGAGCGAACAGACGAGGAGCUUGCUCCUCUGACGUUAGCGGCGGACGGGUGAGUAACACGUGGAUAACCUACCUAUAAGACUGGGAUAACUUCGGGAAACCGGAGCUAAUACCGGAUAAUAUAUUGAACCGCAUGGUUCAAUAGUGAAAGACGGUUUUGCUGUCACUUAUAGAUGGAUCCGCGCCGCAUUAGCUAGUUGGUAAGGUAACGGCUUACCAAGGCAACGAUGCGUAGCCGACCUGAGAGGGUGGUCGGCCACACUGGAACUGGGACACGGUCCAGACUCCUACGGGAGGCAGCAGUAGGGAAUCGUCCGCAAUGGGCGAAAGCUUGACGGAGCAACGCCGCGUGAGUGAUGAAGGUCUUCGGAUCGUAAAACUCUGUUAUUAGGGAAGAACAAAUGUGUAAGUAACUAUGCACGUCUUGACGGUACCUAAUCAGAAAGCCACGGCUAACUACGUG